rnacentral:rRNA from 1 species
UACGGGGGGGGCAAGCGUUGUUCGGAAUUACUGGGCGUAAAGGGCUCGUAGGCGGCCAACUAAGUCGGACGUGAAAUCCCCAGGCUCAACCUGGGAACUGCGUCCGAUACUGGAUGGCUUGAAUCCGGGAGAGGGAUGCGGAAUUCCAGGUGUAGCGGUGAAAUGCGUAGAUAUCUGGAGGAACACCGGUGGCGAAGGCGGCAUUCUGGACCGAUAUUGACGCUGAGGAGCGAAAGCCAGGGGAGCAAACGGG